CAUUCGACGCUGCUGGCUUACGUGGUGGUUGAUAUCCGUGUCCAGUGACGUUGAUUGCAG
rnacentral:pre_miRNA from 1 species